ACGGCUCAGUAACACGUGGCUAACCUGCCCUUGGGACCAGAACACCCCCGGGAAACUGGGGCUAAUUCUCGAUAGGUGAAGAACUCUGGAAUGAGUCUUCGCUUAAAAGAGGCUGGGGUUAUGCUCUCCAGUUUCGCCCAAGGAUGGGGCCGCGGCCGAUCAGGUUGUUGGUGAGGUAAUGGCUCACCAAGCCUUUUACCGGUGCGGGCCGUGGGAGCGGGAGCCCGGAGAUGGGCACUGAGACAAGGGCCCAGGCCCUACGGGGCGCAGCAGUCGCGAAAACUUUGCAAUAAGCGAAAGCUUGACAGGGCUAUCCCGAGUGCCAUCCGCUGAGGAAGGCUUUUACCCAGUCUAGAACGCUGGGGGAAUAAGGAGAGGGCAAGUCUGGUGUCAGCCGCCGCGGUAAUACCAGCUCUCCGAGUGGUGUGGAUGUUUAUUGGGCCUAAAGCAUCCGUAGCUGGCUAGGUUAGUCCCCUGUUAAAUCCACCGAAUUAAUCGUUGGAUUGCGGGGGAUACUACUUGGCUAGGGGACGAGAGAGGCAGACGGUAUUUCCGGGGUAGGGGUGAAAUCCUAUAAUCCCGGGAAGACCACCAGUGGCGAAGGCUGUCUGCUAGAACGCGCCCGACGGUGAGGGAUGAAAGCUGGGGGAGCGAACCGGAUUAGAUACCCGGGUAGUCCCAGCUGUAAACGAUGCAGACUAGGUGUUUGGACGGCCACGUGCCGUUCUAGUGCCGCAGGGAAGCUGUUAAGUCUGCCGCCUGGGGAGUACGAUCGCAAGAUUGAAACUUAAAGGAAUUGGCGGGGGAGCAC
rnacentral:rRNA from 1 species